CCUACGGGCUGCACCAGUGGGGAAUAUUGGGCAAUGGGCGCAAGCCUGACCCAGCGACGCCGCGUGAGGGAAGAAGGCCCUCGGGUCGUAAACCUCUGUCAGGAGGGAAGAAGUGGGUACCGGUUAACAGCUGGUGCCUUUGACGGUACCUCCAAAGGAAGCACCGGCCAACUCCGUGCCAGCAGCCGCGGUAAUACGGAGGGUGCAAGCGUUAUUCGGAAUCACUGGGCGUAAAGCGCGCGUAGGCGGCCUCGUAAGUCAGAUGUGAAAGCCCUCGGCUCAACCGAGGAAUAGCAUUUGAAACUGCGGAGCCAGAGUUCGGGAGAGGGUGGCGGAAUUCCAGGUGUAGGAGUGAAAUCCGUAGAUAUCUGGAGGAACACCAGAGGCGAAGGCGGCCACCUGGACCGAAACUGACGCUGAGGUGCGAAAGCGUGGGUAGCAAACAGGAUUAGAUACCCUCGUAGUC
rnacentral:rRNA from 1 species